UUCAUAGUUUUUUGUUUGUUUGUUUGUUUUUAAAGGAAGCUGACCAUAUGACCUUACUACUCUGGCCACAGUCAGUUGGCACGAGGCUGGAUGCCUGAUUGAAGGCAGGCCACAGCACGAGAAAUGGCAUGAGAUCUCUGUCAGCCUGGCUACUCGACUUGGAAAAGUGACUAACUGACCUUUCUAAUUCUCAGAUCCUUAUGGGGCUGGAAGUUUGCCAAGAUGGACUUUGUGCAGAUACCAGUGCUGUUUGUGGACAGAAGUUCCUUAUGCCAUUUGACUGGGAAGUACCACCUCCUUGUGGAUCAAUGUCUCAAUAUCCUCAUCUGUAAAAUGGGAAUUAUAAUGUAAUUAAUCUACACAUUAGUGAGGAUUAAAAGAAUGAAGAGAUAAUGGAUAUGUGCCUGGCACUUAGCACUAA